rnacentral:rRNA from 1 species
UGAGGAAUUUUGCGCAAUGGCCGCAAGGCUGACGCAGCAACGCCGCGUGGGUGAUGAAGGCCUUCGGGUCGUAAAGCCCUGUCAGGUGGGAAGAAAGGCCUUAAGGAGAAAGACUUGAGGUUUGACGGUACCACCAGAGGAAGCACCGGCUAACUCCGUGCCAGCAGCCGCGGUAAUACGGAGGGUGCGAGCGUUAUUCGGAAUUACUGGGCGUAAAGCGCGUGUAGGCGGGGGGACAAGUCUGAUGUGAAAGCCCUGGGCUUAACCUGGGAAGCGCAUUGGAAACUGUUUUUCUUGAGUACUGGAGAGGAAGGGGGAAUUCCCGGUGUAGAGGUGAAAUUCGUAGAGAUCGGGAGGAAUACCAGUGGCGUAGGCGCCCUUCUGGACGGUAACUGACGCUGAGACGCGAAAGCGUGGGGAGCAAACAG